CGUCCCUGGAAAUAGCUCCCGCAUGAGACCGUACCCCAAACCGACACAGGUGGACUGGUAGAGCAUACCAAGGCGCUUGAGAGAACGAUGUUGAAGGAACUCGGCAAAAUACCUCCGUAAGUUCGCGAGAAGGAGGCCCGGGUUCAAGGCAACUUGGAUCCGGGGGCACAAACCAGGGGGUGGCGACUGUUUACUAAAAACACAG
rnacentral:rRNA from 1 species